UGGGGGGCUAUACAUGCAGUAGAACGCUGAAGAGAGGAGCUUGCUCUUCUUGGAUGAGUUGCGAACGGGUGAGUAACGCGUAGGUAACCUGCCUUGUAGCGGGGGAUAACUAUUGGAAACGAUAGCUAAUACCGCAUAACAAUGGAUGACACAUGUCAUUUAUUUGAAAGGGGCAAUUGCUCCACUACAAGAUGGACCUGCGUUGUAUUAGCUAGUAGGUGAGGUAAUGGCUCACCUAGGCGACGAUACAUAGCCGACCUGAGAGGGUGAUCGGCCACACUGGGACUGAGACACGGCCCAGACUCCUACGGGAGGCAGCAGUAGGGAAUCUUCGGCAAUGGGGGCAACCCUGACCGAGCAACGCCGCGUGAGUGAAGAAGGUUUUCGGAUCGUAAAGCUCUGUUGUAAGUCAAGAACGGGUGUGAGAGUGGAAAGUUCACACUGUGACGGUAGCUUACCAGAAAGGGACGGCUAACUACGUGCCAGCAGCCGCGGUAAUACGUAGGUCCCGAGCGUUGUCCGGAUUUAUUGGGCGUAAAGCGAGCGCAGGCGGUUUGAUAAGUCUGAAGUUAAAGGCUGUGGCUCAACCAUAGUUCGCUUUGGAAACUGUCAAACUUGAGUGCAGAAGGGGAGAGUGGAAUUCCAUGUGUAGCGGUGAAAUGCGUAGAUAUAUGGAGGAACACCGGUGGCGAAAGCGGCUCUCUGGUCUGUAACUGACGCUGAGGCUCGAAAGCGUGGGGAGCGAACAGGAUUAGAUACCCUGGUAGUCCACGCCGUAAACGAUGAGUGCUAGGUGUUGGAUCCUUUCCGGGAUUCAGUGCCGCAGCUAACGCAUUAAGCACUCCGCCUGGGGAGUACGACCGCAAGGUUGAAACUCAAAGGAAUUGACGGGGGCCCGCACAAGCGGUGGAGCAUGUGGUUUAAUUCGAAGCAACGCGAAGAACCUUACCAGGUCUUGACAUCCCGAUGCUAUUUCUAGAGAUAGAAAGUUACUUCGGUACAUCGGUGACAGGUGGUGCAUGGUUGUCGUCAGCUCGUGUCGUGAGAUGUUGGGUUAAGUCCCGCAACGAGCGCAACCCCUAUUGUUAGUUGCCAUCAUUCAGUUGGGCACUCUAGCGAGACUGCCGGUAAUAAACCGGAGGAAGGUGGGGAUGACGUCAAAUCAUCAUGCCCCUUAUGACCUGGGCUACACACGUGCUACAAUGGUUGGUACAACGAGUUGCGAGUCGGUGACGGCGAGCUAAUCUCUUAAAGCCAAUCUCAGUUCGGAUUGUAGGCUGCAACUCGCCUACAUGAAGUCGGAAUCGCUAGUAAUCGCGGAUCAGCACGCCGCGGUGAAUACGUUCCCGGGCCUUGUACACACCGCCCGUCACACCACGAGAGUUUGUAACACCCGAAGUCGGUGAGGUAACCUUUGGAGCCAGCCGCCUAAGUGACGAGGA
rnacentral:rRNA from 1 species